UGGGGAAUAUUGCACAAUGGGCGCAAGCCUGAUGCAGCCAUGCCGCGUGUGUGAAGAAGGCCUUCGGGUUGUAAAGCACUUUCAGCGGGGAGGAAGGCGAUAAGGUUAAUAACCUUGUCGAUUGACGUUACCCGCAGAAGAAGCACCAGCUAACUCCGUGCCAGCAGCCGCGGUAAUACGGAGGGUGCAAGCGUUAAUCGGAAUUACUGGGCGUAAAGCGCACGCAGGCGGUCUGUCAAGUCGGAUGUGAAAUCCCCGGGCUUAACCUGGGAACUGCAUUCGAAACUGGCAGGCUAGAGUCUUGUAGAGGGGGGUAGAAUUCCAGGUGUAGCGGUGAAAUGCGUAGAGAUCUGGAGGAAUACCGGUGGCGAAGGCGGCCCCCUGGACAAAGACUGACGCUCAGGUGCGAAAGCGUGGGGAGCAAACAGG
rnacentral:rRNA from 1 species